rnacentral:rRNA from 1 species
UGGGGAAUAUUGCACAAUGGGGGAAACCCUGAUGCAGCGACGCCGCGUGAGUGAAGAAGUAUUUCGGUAUGUAAAGCUCUAUCAGCAGGGAAGAUAAUGACGGUACCUGACUAAGAAGCCCCGGCUAACUACGUGCCAGCAGCCGCGGUAAUACGUAGGGGGCAAGCGUUAUCCGGAUUUACUGGGUGUAAAGGGAGCGUAGGUGGCAAGGCAAGUCAGAUGUGAAAACCCGGGGCUCAACUCCGGGAGUGCAUUUGAAACUGUCUGGCUGGAGUGCAGGAGAGGCAAGCGGAAUUCCUAGUGUAGCGGUGAAAUGCAUAGAUAUUAGGAGGAACACCAGUGGCGAAGGCGGCUUGCUGGACUGUAACUGACACUGAGGCUCGAAAGCGUGGGGAGCAAACAGG